rnacentral:rRNA from 1 species
GACGAACGCUGGCGGCGUGCUUAACAAAUGCAAGUCGAACGGAAAGGCCCUGCUUUUGUGGGGUGCUCGAGUGGCGAACGGGUGAGUAACACGUGAGUAACCUGCCCUUGACUUUGGGAUAACUUCAGGAAACUGGGGCUAAUACCGGAUAGGAGCUCCUGCUGCAUGGUGGGGGUUGGAAAGUUUCGGCGGUUGGGGAUGGACUCGCGGCUUAUCAGCUUGUUGGUGGGGUAGUGGCUUACCAAGGCUUUGACGGGUAGCCGGCCUGAGAGGGUGACCGGCCACAUUGGGACUGAGAUACGGCCCAGACUCCUACGUGAGGCAGCAGUGGGGAAUAUUGCACAAUGGGCGGAAGCCUGAUGCAGCAACGCCGCGUGCGGGAUGACGGCCUUCGGGUUGUAAACCGCUUUCGCCUGUGACGAAGCGUGAGUGACGGUAAUGGGUAAAGAAGCACCGGCUAACUACGUG